CCUACGGGAGGCAGCAGUGAGGAAUAUUGGUCAAUGGGAGAGAUCCUGAACCAGCCAAGCCGCGUGAGGGAAGACGGCCUUAUGGGUUGUAAACCUCUUUUGUCGGAGAACAAAACCCGGGACGUGUCUCGGAAUGCGUGUAUCCGAAGAAAAAGCAUCGGCUAAUUCCGUGCCAGCAUCCGCGGUAAUACGGAGGAUGCGAGCGUUAACCGGAUUUACUGGGUGUAAAGGGAGCGUAGACGGCUAAUCAAGUCAGAAGUGAAAGCCCAGGGCUCAACCUUGGGAGUGCUUUUGAAACUGAGUAGCUAGAGUGCAGGAGAGGUAAGCGGAAUUCCUAGUGUAGCGGUGAAAUGCGUAGAUAUUAGGAGGAACACCAGUGGCGAAGGCGGCUUACUGGACUGUAACUGACGUUGAGGCUCGAAAGCGUGGGGAGCAAACAGGAUUAGAUACCCCAGUAGUC
rnacentral:rRNA from 1 species